GAGGUUCUGCAGACGCAGGGUGUAGUCUCA
rnacentral:piRNA from 1 species